GGGCGUUUAGCUCAGUGGAAGAGCGUCACAUUGACAUUGUGAAGGUCGUAGGUUCAAUCCCUACAACACCCA
rnacentral:tRNA from 1 species